AAUAGAAGGCUCCUACAGCCCCUCCCUCCUCAAGUUUGAUAAUUUGCUAGAAUGCGUCACAGAACACAGGGAAGUGCUUUACUUACUAUUACUACUUUAUUACAAAGGCUUCAACUCAGGAACAGCCACAAAGAAGAGGUGCACAGGGCCAGGCUGCGGAUUCUUCUUGCCUGCUGUCCUGGAGGAGCCAAUGAGAACAGCAGGUGCCACAGCAAAGAACGAGUUAAUCAUCAGAGGGCCAGCCACACAAGGGGAACUGGGAGAAACUUCUCAAGCUCCUCUCCCUGCGACUUGGAGGCUCAGAUUUUUAAAAGAUACUUUGACAGGCAGGGGUCUGGGGAACUGGAACAACUGACUGGCUGGGUAUGAAAUCCCAGGAGUGUGUUUGCACAGGAGGAGGCUUCUGUUCAGCAGCAAUUUGGAUACAAACCCAGCAAGGUUCCUAUUUUAAAAUCCUGGCUGAGAGUAGCGGCUCGUGCCUGCAAUCCCAGCACUUUGGAGUCUGAAUUGGAAGGAUCUCUUGAGGACAGGAGUUCAAGACCAGCCUGGGCAACAUGGAGAAACCCCUGUGUCUACAAAAAUGUUUUUAGUUAAAAAUAAAUAAAUAAAAUUCUGUGAUUUCA
rnacentral:lncRNA from 10 species